AACUUUUGACAAUGGAUCACUUGGCUCUCGCAUCGAUGGAGAACGCAGCGAAAUGCGAUAAGUAAUGUGAAUUGCAGAAUUCAGUGAAUCAUCAAAUCUUUGAACGCACCUUGCGCCCUUUGGCUAUUCCGAAGGGCAUGCCUGUUUGAGUAUCAUGAACACCUCAACUCUCAUGGUCUGCCAUGAUGAGCUUGGACUUUGGGGGUCUUGCUGGCGUAACCGUCGGCUCCUCUCAAAUGAAUCAGCUUGCCAGUGUUUGGUGGCGUCACAGGUGUGAUAACUAUCUACGCUUGUGGUCUUCCAUCAGGUUACCUUCAGUAAUGGGGGUUCGCUGGAGCUCACAGACGUCUCUCCUCAGUGAGGACAGCUUUUUAAUGUUUGAUCUCAAAUCAGGUAGGACCACCCGCUGAACUUAAGCAUAUCAAUAAGCGGAGGCU
rnacentral:misc_RNA from 1 species